rnacentral:rRNA from 1 species
AGGGUGCGAGCGUUAAUCGGAAUUACUGGGCGUAAAGCGUGCGCAGGCGGUCUCGUAAGCUGGGGGUGAAAGCCCCGGGCUUAACCUGGGAACGGCAUUCAGGACUGCGAGGCUCGAGUGUGGCAGAGGGAGGUGGAAUUCCACGUGUAGCAGUGAAAUGCGUAGAGAUGUGGAGGAACACCGAUGGCGAAGGCAGCCUCCUGGGCCAGCACUGACGCUCAUGCACGAAAGCGUGGGGAGCAAACAGG